GGGAACUACAAGCAUAAGCUUAAAACCCAAAGGACUUGGCGGUGCUUUAGAUCCCCCUAGAGGAGCCUGUUCUAGAACCGAUAACCCCCGUUUAACCUCACCUUUUCUUGUCACCCCCGCCUAUAUACCGCCGUCGUCAGCAUACCUUGUGAAAGCCUUGUAGUCCGCCUAAUUGGUAAAACCCAAAACGCCAGGUCAAGGUGUAGCAUAUGAGAAGGGAAGAAAUGGGCUACAUUUCCUUUCAAAGGAAAGACGAACUGUAUCAUGAAAUUGAUUCACGAAGGAGGAUUUAGCAGUAAGUAAAAGAUAGAGAACUAUACUGAACUCGGCCCUGAAGCACGCACACACCGCCCGUCGCUCUCCCCAAGCCAUAACCAUUUAAUUUUUAAACCACUAAACAGGCAAAGGGGAGACAAGUCGUAACAUGGUAAGUGUACCGGAAGGUGCACUUGGAAUAAU
rnacentral:rRNA from 1 species